rnacentral:lncRNA from 1 species
AUUUACUUCUUUUUUCAGAACUGCUAAAAGUCGAUCCUAUUUUUAUUUACUUUUUCAUGUCGGGGGUGGGGAAACUGAGCAGUGAGAUGGGCUCAGGGUGGCGGAAGGCAGAACCCGGGUCCCCCUCCCCCGAGGCAUCUUCCUCCGUCUCCUAAGCGCUCGGCUGCCCCGGGCCUGGCUGGGACGGACACAGACCCGAGCGCGGAUCUGCUCGUGGGUCCGUCUGGGCAGGGCGGUGAGGACCAGGCUCUGGGGAAGGAGGCCCGAUGAGUCAGAGAUGUCCCGGCCCGCGUCCCACCGCGAAGUGACGUCCUGAAGGCGGCGAGGACGGACGAGGCCGCGCGGGGCGCACACCCGGCCCACGGCUCCGCCCGCCCGCGGCCCGCACGAUCGUGACACGGGUGGCUCGGAUGCACCUGCCCGCGAUUCGCCUCCUUGGCUCUCGGGAGCUCCCGUUCUCGCCUCUCCGUUCCCGGCCUCCCGGCCCCUCCCGCCACGGCUCUGGUCUCCUGCGCCUCGGGGCCCCAGCCCGCUCCUCCCAGACCCGCCCCGCUGCAGCGCUCUCCGACCCUGUGUCCGCGCAGUCCCGGGUCUGCGCUUCCCCUCCGGUGGGGGCAGGGGGAAGCAGGGGCUCCCGGAAACCGACUCUGGGGUCAGCAGGACCAGCCGGCUACAAGGGAGCAGGACUCUGA